GUGACAGCUUUGGGCACCAAAAACCUCUGUUUAUACACAGAAGAGAUACAGUACAGACAGUGGCAAUUCAAGCUUCCUUACAGUAAUGCCUUUGCAUAUUAACCCUGACCUGGAGAGAGAAAUAGAAAUGGUGGGUCAUAGUUCUAUGUCUAUUCAAACAUUGUCUAUU
rnacentral:sRNA from 1 species